GGGGCUGUGGUUCAGUGGUAGAGCACUUGCCUAGCAUGUAAGUCACUGGGUUCGAUCCUCAGCAUCACA
rnacentral:tRNA from 1 species